UACGUAGGGUGCGAGCGUUAAUCGGAAUUACUGGGCGUAAAGCGUGCGCAGGCGGCUUUAUAAGCCAGAUGUGAAAUCCCCGGGCUUAACCUGGGAACUGCAUUUGGUAACUGUAAGGCUAGAGUGUAGCAGAGGGGGGUAGGAAUUCCACGUGUAGCAGUGAAAUGCGUAGAUAUGUGGAGGAAUACCGAUGGCGAAGGCAGCCCCUCGGGCUAACACUGACGCUCAUGCACGAAAGCGU
rnacentral:rRNA from 1 species